CCUACGGGUGGCAGCAGUAGGGAAUCUUUCACAAUGGGCGAAAGCCUGAUGGAGCAACGCCGCGUGCAGGAUGAAGGCCUUCGGGUUGUAAACUGCUUUUAUAAGCGAGAAAUAUGAUGGUAACUUAUGAAUAAGGAUCGGCUAACUACGUGCCAGCAGCCGCGGUCAUACGUAGGAUCCGAGCAUUAUCCGGAGUGACUGGGUGUAAAGAGUUGCGUAGGUGGCAUAAUCAGUAGCUAGUGAAAUCUGGUGGCUCAACCAUUCAGACUAUUAGCUAAACUGUUAAGCUCGAGACCGUUAGGGGUAACUGGAAUGUCUAGUGUAGGAGUGAAAUCCGUAGAUAUUAGAAGGAACACCAAUAGCGUAGGCAGGUUGCUGGGACGGUUCUGACACUAAGGCACGAAAGCGUAGGGAGCAAACGGGAUUAGAUACCCCAGUAGUC
rnacentral:rRNA from 1 species